GUGUGUACAAGGGUGAAGGGAGUCUUUAACAAAAGGCCUGCUACGCCGGGUAACGCCGCCAUGUUGGGUCUAGAUUCCUGCCUAACAUUCUGACCUCUUUCUAAUAAGAAAAUGGGACGACGUGUUCAUCUGGCUGCUUCCUGCUGAUGGGUAACAGAUCAUCUUCAGCUUGCACCCCUCUGGAGCAUACUCUGAAGCACUGGAACUUCCUUAACCUCAGGACUUUGAAGAGAAAAGCAACUCAUUUUCUUUUGCACAAAGGCUGGGAAAGGCCCUACACCCUUCUUUCAACUCAACCCCCUCGGCAGUAAAGGUUACAGGAAUCGACUCCCGGAUACGUCACAGUCAAGUCAAAGCCUAAAGAGCUGAGGGAGCAACCCCUGACAGCCCAGAGGAACAUCCUGAAUAUCAAUGUGGAGAAAAGACGAUCUUAAGCUGAAACUCAUAAAAGAUAAGUAACUGAGUGAGGGCUACUCGUCUUACUGAGUCCCACUCCUACCUCACCAGAUACUGUUUAUUAUUUCUCCCCUUUCCUCUCAAAAUUUGCCACCAAAUAUUAGAACUUCUUUUUAAGGCAUAUUUGCAAGGAAAUUUUAAUUAUACAUGGGAUUGCAUUUGUAACUUUGUAGAUCCCCAAAGGAAAAUGUUAUAUCUUGGCAAGUAAAAUUUUAAACAGAAAUUAUUUACUAUGCCACUCCUAUGGGAAUUGUUAUAGUCACGCUGCCAUCACUGUGGCACCCACAAUGUAGAAUUCUGGUUGUAAAAUUCUAAUUGCUGUAAUAUUUUGCCUGAUUAUCAUCCUUAUAACAGGAUUAAUAAUUGCAGGAAAUAUCUAGUCAAGGUUGCUUUGGUUAUAGCAGGAGUAAUAGUUAUGGAUAAGAAGCAAGCAUGGAAGUUUUACUAUGAUAGGACUUUUUACUGAAGGUUGGUGAUAAGAUGCACUCUAAGCUAUGAAAAGGAUAUGAAAAACAGAGAUUUUACAUAAGGAAGGAUCUUGAAUGGUAAAUUAUUGUCCUAAAAGGAAGUGACUGGUUGUUUACAGAAAGGAUGUUUAGGACAAGUGAGAAAGUUUAAGUAUGUUGUAAGAGGGUAUGUGAAAGUCAUGAGAAAAAUUUUAAUAAUUAAAGGAUUGUCAAGAUUAACACUAAAAUUAUUUUAGCCACCCAGUAACAUAUUUCUCAAAAUUAUAUUGCAAGUUAUAAAAAUGGCCUAAGCAUAAAAUUAUUCUCCAAUGGCAAGUUAAGGGGGGAAAUGUAUGCUUUUCUCAAGGAAAAUGUGAUCUUUAUAUUAACGUUUCUGGUAAUGUACAGCGACACCUAGUGGAGACAAGUGGGUAUUGCACUCCAUUGGUGUAUCAAACUCAGUAAUGGUCUAUAGGACCCCCACUAACGGUGGUAAUCUUAAUACUCAUAUUCUAACUCUAUAUUUUAAACCAUCUUGUAAAAUUUAUCUCUUUUCACCUAGAAGCAAUCAAACUCCAAAUGGUGCAAGCAGAACCACACAUGGACAGGCCAUUCUUCUGAGAACCCAUAGCUCAACCUCAGGAGAAGGUCCAAUUGCUGUUCCCCCAUAUGAUGCCCCUUUUCAGCAGAAAGUAGCCAGGAAGAAUCAUCGUCUGACACCCCUUAGCAACAUGCCCUGGACCCUCCAAGCUCCGAUUCAAAUAAUGUUAACCCCCUCAGGAAGGACCAGCAAUACUUGGCGUACCCUCCUCUCCCUGAGCAAAACCUUUUCAUUAUGGAGUGGAAGGUGGAGGUGAGUGUGUAGGCUAGUGUGGCUACUUGGCUCCUACCACUUGCCCAGUGUAGAUUUUCCACAAGUAUGAAAGUAAAUGCAAAUCCAAAAAGGGGAGAAAAUUAAACUUUUCAUGGCGCAAAAAGGGAAAGUGACCCCCUCCAUCCCUUUCCUUAGAGCAUAUACUUUAGAUGACGUUUCGUUAUGAAUCCUUUUUCUACUCCUUCAAGAGAUAUGUAAAUAUUUUUUAAACUGUUAAAAAUUACAGGAAGCCAUUGUUUUGGACUGAGCUCCUGCACUAGGUCCCAACAUUCAAGAAAAAAACAAAAUAGAGUCUCUCGUGUUAAAUGCCACAUCGUCAAACUAAAACCUUAACGAAGCAAACAGAUUCUAAAACAGACCAGUUUUUCCUGAAAACAGGAGAUUCUAGUCUACCUGUGUCAGCAUAAUAAUAAGGAAGUAUCCUCUGCUUUAACCCUUUUAAAAAAUUAACCCAAAGUAACCUGAUGUUAACCAAUCCAGUUUUUUUCUAUUGUUCUACUUCCUUGUUCCCACUCUUCAAUACCUACUGUUCUGUCAUUGCCAAGUGGGAGAUCUCAUUAUUUGUAGAAUGGAUGCUUCCCAAAUUCAAGAAUCACAGAUAAAAGCAAAUUAGACCUAUAACUAAAUUUGUCAUAAUUUUGUCUUUUAAUAAAGCUAAAUAAGCCUUUUGCCAGCUUUAAAACACAGAAAUGUCUUUCUCAAGAACCUGAGUGACAUCUCUUUGAAAUGUAAACAUCAAAGAAUAUAGCAUCCCUAUCUUCUUGGGAGUUUAAUGUAGGUGUCUGGCUUCAAAUUACAGCUACCUAUGUGUCAUAGAAUUAUGAGAAAUUUUACAAUGUCUUUGGAUAAAGGCAAUUAGCAAAGACAAAUGGCCACCCCCAAGUACCAGGAGAAUUUAAAAUGAACUAUGUGUAACAAAUGGUGCUAUUAAGUCCUCUCAUAUGAAGACUAGUCUAUCUUGGGAACAUAUAUGUAAUAGUUUAUAUCUGCCUGGGCUAUAUAAAAAGAUGAUAUUUCUAUCUUUCCAAUCUCUUUAGCAGAUUGCCUGUGAUACACAUUACAUUCUGGUUUAAUGACUAUUCAAUAAUAAAACUGUUUUCCUUCUUUUCUACUUUUGUGGACAGGUUUUCUGGGUUGGCAGAUUUUGUCUGUAAUUAUGUUUUGCCCAACACAGGCACCUGGGAACAUUGAGUACUGCCAAUGGACUGCUGAACCAAAUGAAGUGCUUUUCUGCAACAUUCAUGUUGCAGAGGAGAUGGGAACUGCCACUCAGCUGCUGCCGCUCAGCUACUAAAUCUGAAAUAGUUAUUCAGCAAUACAAAAAUGGGAAUGGGGAGUUCUAGAGCAUCCCCUGUGGCUCAAAUGCCCAGAACUUUCUGCUAUACCUACUGAGUUUCAGUAGAUUUUAUUGAAUAAAAGUUUCUCAAUUCUUUAUAAGCCCUCUGAUCAAUCUCCAAAUACUUUGUCUAGUUUCAGAUAUGUUUUUCUAGGGGAAAGGAUUUGCCAAGCUCCUUAUACUGCCAUUCCAGAAGUCCUAACCCUGAACUAUGUUUGCAACUUCUUGUGAAUCCUAAAUUAUUUUAAAAUAAACAGUAUAAGAAAUAAAAAUUUAGUGAUGCCUAGCAUGAUCCAGGCAGUGUCCUUGAUGCUGGAUUUACAAAGACCAAUGAAACCUGGUUCUUUUCCUUCAGGAUCUUAUAGUCAGGUGUGGGAGACAGAUCUGUGUACUGGAAAGCACAGAAAAGUGCUGUAGGUGCUGAAUUAGCAAUCUGCGCAAAUAGCAUGGAGGAAGGGAUGAAGUAAACAAAAGUCGUCAGUAAAAUAGAAACAGGAAUGGCCAACAAAUUAAAAAGAAGAUUCAGGAGAACUAUGUCCUUGUGAGUCUGAAAUCACUCACCUAUACUUGACAAUGCAACUGGUCAUUGGGUUCACAUCCUUGGCUCUUCCCAGGUAAUAGUGAAUAGUAUCCCUUCUCGAAAUAAAAUAAUUUAGACAGGCUUCUAUUCAUUCAACUAUGCAUCCAAACACAUACUAUUUUGUGGGACUUCUCUAUACCUCAGUCACUGUUUAUCAGAGAAACCCUCAGUGAAUUAUCUAAUGCAGUUUUAUUGUAAGAUCAGAUCUGAAGGAAAAGGAGUAACAGAUUGACCGAAGUUCUUUAUGAAGCCAAGAAGUCCGAAAUAGAAGCUUCCCAAAAUGGGAACAUGGGGUAAAGAAUAUAAAAAUCUCAAGUGAAGAGAAUUUCUAAUACAGAUGUGUCCUAUGUCAAUUCAUUGUUCACAUAUAUUUUCCAAUAAGGGCAAAACUGACACAAUGAUAGCAAUACUUUAUUGAGCAAGUAGCAAAUGUAAUAAUAAUUCAUUCAAUAAAUAUUAGGCACUGUGUUAGGUUCUGGGGAUACAGAGAUGACUCAAGCUGGGCUUCAGGCCUCAAAGACUUCAUAUUCUAGUGGACAGACAGACAGACCUAGAUAGAAAGAUAGACAAUUCUGCCUACAUGUAGAAUUGCACCUACAUGAAAUUGUGAGGAGAGCUAUGACAGAAAUAAGCAUGGAGGACCUUGGGAAACAGAUGAGGGCCCCUUAACCUAGGUAGCCAUGAAAGAAUUCUCAGAGGAGAUAAUGCUUAUGAACUAGGUACUAUUAUGAUCCUCAACAUUAGAUUAGAAAACUGCAGAUCAGGGAGGUAAAGUAACUUGGCUGAGAUCACAUGGAUAGUAAAUGGUUGAGCCAGUUUUCAUUCAUGGUAAUGUGAACUCCCAAACCUCAUUCGUUUCACUUGACUGCCACCACUUAGAUUUUCAGUGGCUCUGUUUGCUUCAAAUAUUUUUUUGAAAUCUGGUACAUUUUAUGAUCUAUGGGAAAGUCAGAAAGAUACUCCAUAUCUAUUAGUUUAAGUGCAGCUCCUCUGAGUUCUAACUACUAGGCCCUGAUGCUGUACAGAAUUCUGAGCACAGCCUAGACACUAAAUGUUUUUCUUUUCUGCAGACCAUCAAAUGCUAACUGAUUCGCUUCAACCUUGAGUAUUAAUUAAUUUUUGCUGUGUUACACCCACUUUUAAAAGUAAUUUUAACUUAAUGCCCUUUCAAAAUCCAAUCAAAUUAACAGUAUAAUAUGGAUUUUCAUAAAGAUCCCAGAAUGUCCUGCUCUGAAACACCAUCCAAUUGACUAUUCAUAUCAAUGUAAACUGGACUUGGAGUGUUAUAAAAAUCCUGCUCAAAAGCAUAUACUAAAUCAUUACAAUUUUCUUGUAAGUACAAAUCAAUUUUUAUGAGACACAGUCUUGCUUUGUCACCAAGGCUGGAGUGCAGUGGUGUGAUCACAGCUCACUGCAGCCUCA